UACGUAGGGCGCAAGCGUUGUCCGGAAUUAUUGGGCGUAAAGAGCUCGUAGGCGGUUUGUCACGUCGGAUGUGAAAGCCCGGGGCUUAACCCCGGGUCUGCAUUCGAUACGGGCAGACUAGAGUGUGGUAGGGGAGAUCGGAAUUCUGCGUGUAGCAGUGAAAUGCGUAGAGAUGCGGAGGAACACCGAUGGCGAAGGCAGCCCCCUGGGCCAACACUGACGCUCAGGCACGAAAGCGUGGGGAGCAAACAGG
rnacentral:rRNA from 1 species